ACCAGGCAUAUCAAAAACUCCACCUGCCAAAACAAACCACACAUAAAAAAAAUUCAACUUUCUUCAAAUGAUUAUCCAAGCUUUCAGGAAUCAAUGAAUCAAACAUAAAUUGAUCCAAUCCAGAGAAUUUCUGCGAUUCAUAUCAUAGAUUAAGCACUCCCUUCAUUACUCAUACCAAAUUACAUUAUAAUCAAUCCAAAAUUACAGUCUCUAUAAGAAGUUCCAGGAUUCUUCAAAAUUGAGGAAUUCGAAAGAGAGAGAGAGAGAACUUACAGUGCAGCAUCCUUUCCUGAAGCAAA